GCAAGUCGAACGAGAUGGCCCAUUAAAGGUUUAGUGCUUGCACCAGACUGGAUCUGGAUUCCCAUCUAGUGGCAUACUGGUCACUAACACGUAGGUUACCUGCUCUAAGUUGGGGUUAACAGUUAGAAACGACUGAUAAUACCGAAUGUGCUCUACGGAGUAAAGAAGCCUUUAAAGCAUCGCUUAGAGAUGAGCCUGAGGCGUAUCAACUAGUUGGUGAGGUAACGGCUCACCAAGGUAACGACGCGUAGCCGAACUGAGAGGUUGAUC
rnacentral:rRNA from 1 species